rnacentral:rRNA from 1 species
AUGAACGCUGGCGGCGUGGAUAAGGCAUGCAAGUAGAACGCCCCGCAAGGGGAGUUGCGAACGAGGUAGUAAUACAUAGGUACAAACCCCAGAGUCAGGAAUAACCUACCGAAAGGUAGGCUAAUACUUGAUAGCACCGAAAGGUUAAAGAUUUAUCGCUUUGGGAUUGGCCUGUGCAGUAUCAGCUAGUUGGUAGGGUAAUGGCCUACCAAGGCAAUGACGCUUAGGAGAGCUGAGAGGCUGACCUCCACCGAUGGUACUGAGACACGGACCAUACACCUACGGGUGGCUGCAGUCGAGAAUCUUCCGCAAUGGACGCAAGUCUGACGGAGCGACGCCGCGUGAUUGAUGAAGUCUUUCGGGAUGUAAAGAUCUUUUAUGUAGGAGAAAGUUUUGAUAGUACUACAUGAAUAAGGGGUUGCUAAACUCGU